rnacentral:rRNA from 1 species
AUUGAACGCUGACGGCAGGCUUAACACAUGCAAGUCGAGCGAGCGGCGGACGGGUGAGUAAUGUCUGGGAAACUGCCUGCUGGAGGGGGAUAACUACUGGAAACGGUAGCUAAUACCGCAUACCAUCAGAUGUGCCCAGAUGGGAUGAGCUAGUAGGUGGGGUAAUGGCUCACCUAGGCGACGAUCCCUGGCUGGUCUGAGAGGAGGACCAGCCACCCUGGAACUGUGACACGGUCCAGACCCCUACGUGAGGCAGCAGUGGGGAAUAUUGCACCAUGGGCGGAAGGCUGAUGCAGCCAUGCCGCGUGUGUGAAGAAGGCCUUCGGGUUGUAAAGCACUUUCAGCGAGGAGGCGUUACUCGCAGAAGAAGCACCGGCUAACUCCGUGCCAGCAGCCGCGGUAAUAC